rnacentral:lncRNA from 1 species
GAAAUAUUGUCGUGCAUCGUAACUUGCGCGUCUAGUUCUCUUUUUUUUCUUCUUCUUCUUCUUUUUAACCAAUCAAAUAUGUUAUUUGUAAUUGAUUUAUUUACUGACGAACAUCGUUCGAUGUUUUCGAUCGUCGAUGGUUUUAAAGAAAAUGCAAAUAAAUUGCAUACAAACGAUUAGAAUUCUAUGUGUUAAAGGUAUCACCGCCUUAGUAACUUAAUUUAGUUGUUGUAUUUUUAAAAAGACAUACUUUUAUCGUAGUCUUUUAGUACGUUGUAGAAUAAUUAAUUAUGUUUGAAGUUGUAUGCAACGAGUCGCAAGAUUUCAUUGUAUUAGCUUAAAUUUGUUAGUAAUGUAAAAUAUUGUUUCAAUCGACUAAAAAUAUUCUGAAGCAAAGAGAAAAAAAGAAAAAUGUUUUGAUUGUUAUUUUUCAUUUUAUAGAGAUUCUUCGCUUGCUGCUCUUAAAACUCUCUGUGCAAUGUAUUCAACUCUUUUUACGUACUAUAUUUAUAUUGAGUGGCAAAAUUAACGAGAGGAAAGUUACUAAAUAUAUUAUAACCCAAAUCUUUAGAAACCUUGGUUUGAAAAAUGCAUUUGAUGCGUUUGAUGAAACAAAAACGAUAAUAAUGAAUGAUAAUUUUGAAAUGUUAGAUGAUAUUUCGUUAUGAGAAAAGAAAGGUAACUGAGGGCCGCUAAAAUAUGAAUGGCACAGUGUUGACAAGUAUUUUCUACCGAUUGCAACGAAUUUAUAAAAUGCAAAACAACACGAAAAGAGCCUGUUUAGAAUAAAAUAAUUUAACCUAUUUUUAUAUAUGAAAAUAUACGUAUAAGUAAAUAAAUGAAUAAGCAAAUAAAUUAAAUAAAAAAUUAAUUAAUUAAUUAAUUAAUAUUAUACGUAUAUACGAUUACAGAAUCUAUCGUGUGUGUGUUCAUGAAGAUAAACGAGGAUUGUAAGAACAUUAAUAUCGAAGUAUAUAUGAUUGUAACUAAAAGGUACGGGAACUCGUUAAAUAUAUGUCGUUGUGAUUCGAUUUGAACUACGAUCAGUUCAUUUGUAGAUAUAAAUGAUAGGGAAUCUUAUUUUUGCUCAUUUUUUCCCCCUUUGCAUUUACAAAAACAAAAAAAAAAAUGUAAUAAAAAUUAUAAAAUAAUUAAUUUAUGCGUUUCCUUUCACUCUCAUUUCAUUUACACUUCACUGCGUUUUAUAGCGUAGCCGACGAAUAACGGAGAAACAGAGAACGAAAUUAUAAAAUUCAACAGGUAUUUGCAUAACGCGCAAAAGAAAGGAAAAAGAAAAAAGGAAAAAAGAGAGAAAAGAAGCUCCCGGUGUGUUUUUUCAAUACUGUCAUGCUGUGCCAUACAUAUCCACUUCGGUGUACGAUGGUUCAGUAAAAAGUUUGUAUCUACAUUAUGAAUAUUGCGACUUUCCUUUUUGUAUUAUAUUCGCGCAUUGAUUAUUAAACAAAAGAAAUUAUACGUAAGGAUAUUUUCAGACCAUUCCUUUAAUAUAAAUAAUACAUUUUGGAAUGCAGUUGUUAAAUUUAAAAUAAUGCUGUAAUGGAGUAAUAAUCUAAGAAACGAAAGAUUCGAAUUAUUAAUUAUUUAUAAAUAAGUAUCAUAUUAUUUAAGAUUUUCCUUGAUUUUUUUCGUUUAAUUUCGAUUAACCUUAUGUAUGUACAGUUUUUCUCAAAAUCCCACAUUCUUUUAGUCUAACAAUCAACGCAUGUACAAAUAGUAUCGAUCAAGAGUGUAAAAUAUCCACCGAUCAUUCAGACAUUGCAACGAUGAUAGUACACGUGAGAGCAAGUCCAUUAUUUAAUGGACGAAUCGAUGGAAGCAGAAAACAGAAUGCACUAAAGAGACUGAACUAGAAGAAACUCGGCGCGUAAAGGAAAUACCUAAAAAUUCAAGUGCAACUUAAGUAAACCCUGCAAUAAGCGCGUUUCUAAUUUGCGCCGCGUUUCUAACAAGAGAGUCAGUAUACGUAUAUUCGACGGACUGAAAUACUUAAUGAAAGAUGGGUGAAACAAGAACAGAGUUCUUGUCAGAGAAGAAUGGAACCGUAAUACCGAACUUGUCCCAUGAUCAGCAUUAUCAGGAUCGUGUAAACGUUUGAACGAACGACAAAACUAUCGGAACAAGUAGUAUUUGUACAGAAAGUAAUGUCUUUGCGAAUGUAAGUGCUCUUAACAAUGCAUUUGAUAACUCGUAACGAUUAGUUCCGAUUGCCGAUAGCUCCUUUAUCGGUUUCAUUGCCAGAGCUUCGAACGUGAAGCAAACCUUUCGAAAAUUUCGUUAUUAUUACUAUUCCUGCAUUUUAUUUUUCUUUAUUUCCUUUACGUUGUAUCAGAUUUGAUCCCUCAACAUAUUCGAUUCGAGAACAUUCGAUUAAGCUUCAUGCGUAUGCGUUCACCGUGUGCGAUUCCUAAGAACGCGUUUUAAUAUCGUCGAGUAUGUUUAGGAGGAAAGAUCGUAUGACCAAUACAUGUCUUCGAAGUUAAUAAAUAUAAUUGACAUUUAGAUCAGUAUUUCGCUUUCACUUUGUCAUUUUCUUUCUCUUUAUUUCCUUUUUUCUUAUCCUCCACUUUUUUUCUAAAUAUUAAUUGUUAUUCGAUAUCGUUAGAUUUCACCGAGUUCGAAAACUUUCUUUCCAUUGUGUUUCAUUCGUCCUCGAACGAGCAUAGUGCCUUCUUUUCAUUCCGUUGCGAAUCACUCUCUCUCUCUACUCGGUGUUAUCGGAUAAUCGUAUUCGCCUAUAUGUAUUUGUAUGUCUGUUUUCAUACCGUUUUCUACGAAUUACAUACGUAAAGUAUGCUACGUAUCUUUUUCUGUUCCCCUUUUCGGUUAGUUUCUCUAGUAAUCUUUGCCACGACAGAAUAAUCAUAUUCGGAUCGUUGAACCGACGGAAAAUCGCGAUUCGAUGAUUCACGCUUUAUCGCUGAUCCUCGAAAUCAUAUACGUAGUGUCUUACCAUGUAAGUGUCAUUGAGUGAUAUUUAACGCGAAAUAAGGAAAGAGUAGGAGUCGAGGUUCUCGCGAAUCAAACUUUUCGACCACUAUAUGUAAAUUCUAUCAAUUAUGACGUCUGCUCCAACUUUUCGUCUCUCUCUCUCUCUCUCUCUCUCUUUUUUGAUUUAUUCAAAGCUUAAGAACGAAAGAAAAAGCAGAGAAUCCAAGUGCCAAUUUUAGCAAAGCGAGAGUAAAUGACUAUACAUAUAUACAUAUAAUACACGAAAUAUAUAUAUACAAUAUAUUUAGCGUAAUUUUACGUACAUUAUUUCUUACGUAAACGAUAUUAAUACGUACCAACGCUGAUAAAGGAGGAAAAGUCUCAAGAAUAUCUUUGUUUUGACGUCGAAAAAAAAAGAAACUCGCUAAAGAUACGCAUUAACGAGCUUCGAAACCGCGUCAUAGACGAAGAAAGAAUCGUUUACCCCUCCUUAUUUCCUCCGUACUCACGGGGAAACGUAUCAUUAUCGAAACAACGUACAUUUAGAUAAAUUUUUAAAAAGAGAAUUAUCGUGUCUUAGACGAGAAAGUUGUAUGGAGAACUGGGAAAGAAGUGAAACGGUGUACAGCGCAUGGGUAUUCAAAAUUAAGUCCCUAAAUAAAUGUCAUUGGUGUUUAUCGAUUUUUCUAUACUUCUCACGGUCUCCCUUUCUCUUUCUAAAUGUUCAAUUGUUAAUCGUCCAAUGAUUGGUAAAGCAUCGCGAAUGAGUUCUGCCAGUUUGUCAGCGUUUCGAAUAUUCUUCGAACAUGGUCUCCGUAAACGAGGUUUCUUCUACUUUCGAUUAUUCUUCUCGCGAAGGGCUAGAAAACUCGUCGGUGUUCCUGCUAGUAGAAAAUUCCUCGUUAUAGUACUUGGAUGAAAUUGAGAAACUUUUGAACAAUCUGUGAACGUUUCAUGAAAGUUUUCACUUGUUAAAGAUUGACUACGUUUUAAAUGUUACUUAAAAUGUACUAUAAAGUGAAUAUAAUAAAAGUGUAAUACCAUUAAGAGAAAAAAAAAGUUAAUUUAAAGGUAAAAUUAACAUUAAAAUAUUUAUAAAAUUUCUCCGGCUCCAAAGAAACGAAGAAAAUAGCGCAGCAGAGAUUAAAAAGUUCGAACGUUUAUUAUGUACUACUGGAAGUUUAUUUUUGUUAGUCGAUAUCGUUUAUCGUGGUUUUCCUUUGAUUAAAUUCACAUUAAGAUACGGAACAAAGUUAAUGAUAGGUUACAUCAGUUUUUUCUUCCAUUCUAUGUCUUCACUGCCUCUUUCGGCUGUCCUGGCACAACAGACAAAAUUUCUCAUUAUAUAACGACUCAUGAAUGUACUGUUCCAUCGUAAUCGAAGCGUAGCCAAGCGAAAAGGACGAUUUAAACGGAAAAUCAAAAUGACUCGUAAGACCCGAACGUCUUGUCGUAACCAUGAAAAGCGUAUUAUCUUUACGAAGAAAGAUAUUCAGUUUUAAAGAUUAUUUGUAAAAUAUACAAAGUUUGUACUACUUUGAAAUCGCUCGCCAGAAUAUUAUAAGCAACAGGUGAUUUUUCAUGAACGUCCAUUGAAAAUUUAGGCGACACGAUGUUCGGAGUAAAAUAGAAUUUUUUGCGUGAACUUGCCUUUUGUCGGCUCAAUGCGCGUGAUUUAUCAGAAAAUACGAAAUAAAUAGAUCAUCGAAUUUUGUAGUGGACUUUAAUCCUAUUUAAAAUACGAUAAACUGUACUUAGCAAUAGAUUUAUGAAAUCGUUAUAAUAUUUUAAUUUAAGUUCGUUAUUGUAAUAACUUAACAGGUAUUUUUGUUAGGUAACACACGUUAUGUUUAUAGAUUGAAUAAUAAAUAAUAUUUGGUCAUUACUUACGAUCAUUAUGACAUAAAAAUAUUAUAUUCGGAAUAGGAACACUAUCUCGCCGCUUUUAAUGGCCUUGAAACAUGUUGUCAAAGCGACCAUAUCACCAUUAAUACUACAUGUAUUAUUUAACAAUUUAUUUCAUACAUUUUUGUUCUCUAAACAAUUUUUCAAGGACGUUUGAGAAUAUUCGUUACCUUUCUGACCAAUUGAAGGUCAUAAUAAAGUGCAACAUUCCAAAUAUCCAUCGAUUCAUCGAAAAUUAUUUCGCGCUGACGUUGCUGAUCACCUAAAGGCGAUCAGAUACUAUUCUAACCUAACUUAUAACAUAAUCUCCCUUUUUAAUUAUACGAUAGUAAGAAUGGUUAUCUCUCUUAUUAAUAAGCCAUCGUAACCAGAAAAUUGAAGUUUUUUACGAACAUUUUGUUAACUAAAGUCGAGCGGCGGUUGUAUGUAUAGGAAAAAAGUUGUUUAGAACGUUGAAUUUGACAACAUAUCUCAAGCUCAUUGGAAUCAAUAGGAUCGUCCCUAUUCCGAAUAAUUAUCAAAAAUAUAUGUGAUUUAAUUGUAAUCGUAGAUAUUGAAUUAUUAAUUUUUUAUUCUGUUCAACUUCAGUCUUAAAGUUGCAAUUAAAAGACGGAAAUAUCAAACACAGUAUGUAGCUAUCUGGGUACGCAAUUCAGAUCCGGUUCCUGACUGCACUAUCCAUCAUUUUAAAAGAGUACACAUGAAAAGAACUAGUAUCUCGGUGAAACAUACAUAUCACGUUUUGAUAUAUCAUUCUUUUUGCGUGUUAGAAUCAUAUAACAAACUUUCUAAGUCCAUGUAUACUAUCCGGAAAUAGUAAACCAAAGAAGAUUACAUGUUCGUAUAGAAGAGGUUUCAUUUCCGUUUAUUUUUAUCAAUUCAGACAAUUAAGUUGGAAAACAUUUUACUUAUAUAUGCGAUACAGCGGAGUAUGUCACUCCGAACCGAGCGAAUUAAAUAGUUUAUUAAUGGAUAUAUAGAUCGCGUAACUAGUUCGAUAUCGCGUGCAUGCAUACGUGUGAUUGCCGGCAAAAAGAGAGUUCUGAUCGCAUUCUUUCUUUUUCGCUUGACACGUUAGGCGUGACGUACGUAAUACACGUAUUGUACGUACAUACAUAGUCUGUUACACUGACAUCAUAGUUUCUCGUCGAAACACGAUUUCAAAUCAUUACAUGGCGAAUGCUUUUUAAAAAGUACCGCGUACAACGAACAAAUUUUCUAAUGUUGCUUCUCGAAAGAAAUAUUCCCAACGAGUGCCUCGAAUUAGAUUCUUUUAUCGUUACAACUUUAAAUCGUUUGUCAUCGUUCGUAAUAAAGAGGGGGAAGAGAGAGGGUAAUCGUGAAAACAAACGAUUGGACAAGAGAAUGGGCAUGCGCCUGGAAUUGUUGCUUAGUAUUGUUAUUAUUUUUCUUCCCUGCUAACGUGGUAGCUGGUAUACAUAUAAAGCAUUGCCGAUGAGUGAGUUACCGGGUGAGCGUUAAUACAGUAGUGCCUCAUUAACUGGCCGUUGCUAUCUCCACUAAUCUUUGGAGAGAGCCUCUGGUGUUACGUAUGCGAAACAACAACCAAAUACGUCAGGUUGCGUACAGAUUUCGUUCGAUGAUGAUUCAGUGUGGCGGAGUUUCUCAUAAGCCGAAGACCUGUUUCGUCCGCGACACGAUGCAGUGGAACCUUAUUUUGACCAUCGCCAUUUUCUCUUUUCGUUGAUUCCAUGUUUGUUGUCUGAUUUCACACAAUGAAUCGAAGUGUUAGUUUCUUUGAUACGAUGACAUGAAAUGAAUUGUUCGUUCGCCGUUGCCUUCAAAUCGGAUGAUGCAGUAUACAAUAUCGUGCAAUGGAUACACGCAUUUCGCAAUUCUCAUAGCUUAAUGAAUGCGUUGAGUAUAUCGAUAGAAGAUAAAUGAUCUUUGAAUUUUUCCCGUAUAUGAGGUGGAAAUAAUAUAACGCGAUCGUAAAUGGACCAAUGUCCAUUGAUAUAGUCAUACUCAGAAACGCACCGUUUUGUAAAACUAUUUUAAAUCUUAAAGUGCAAACAUUAUUAAUUUCCAAAUCGAGAUCUUUUAUUAAAACUAUAUGAUAAUCUUUGUUGCUACUUGCUCAAUAAUAAUAGUCAUAUGAAAAAUGAAUCUGUAAUUGUUGAAAGUUAUAACAUGUAUACUUUUAAAAAAGAUAAAAAGAAGUUAAUAUCUCACGUUCCUCAGAGAAGUUUGAAAUCCUCAUUUCCCAGAAAACGUUUCGAAUUAUACACUUGAAACAAUGUAAAUUAAUAGCUCCUAAUUGAUUUUUCGUGCGUGUUAUAUCGUUUCCAUCUGAUACACACUGGAAAUUAAUAAUAAACAUUAUCACUAUCACGACAAAACGUCGAUGCCUGAAGUUUAGAUAAUUAUAACGAUGCGUCGUACGAGCUGACCUUUGGGUAUGUGCAAAUCGAUUCUUGCGAAUGUGCAACGUAGAGAAUAUAUAUUGUUGCAUAACCUUACCAUAGAAUUCGUGUUAAUACUUGUGUAUCGAGCAUGUGUCGGGUAGAGGAGGAGCGACGUUUAAAAUAUAUCUAAGAGGUUAGGUUGUAAUGAAUUCAUCAUUUUUCUGUACAUAACGUUUAUUAAUCUUGAAGAUCUAUGCGAUAUUAUUUGUAUAGUACAUGAAUAACUUUAGGGGUACAUAUAGAUAUUGGAUGACUUCAAACUUUACUCAAAUACAUCAUGAAGCUUCCUAAUUGAAACGAAAGAGAUUCGACGAACAUUUAUUUUGUACCGGAUAGUUGAUAUUAUUAGUAACAUAGUAUAUCGAUCGAUAAUAACUUGAAAACCAAAUACAAGUAAUACUCGAUCUUUUUCGUUUGAUAAUUCUUUUCGUCCCGUUAUAUUGAGGUCUUCGAGGAACUUACCCAAUUAUGAAAACCUUCUAUUGCCAUGAAAUACUUGAGCGAGGAACGAAGUCUCGGGCUAAACGCAAAAGAGGAAACUUCGUGAUACGCGAAAAAGAGAAAGUACAGAAAACGCGUAAUGACUAAAGAUCACGUAUGACUGCGCACAAUAUUUUGUAACGGUGAAGAAAAUCAGAAGAAAUCAUGAAGGACGAAGAAACAUGAUUUUUAUUACCCAUAUCAAACUAAGGGUUAGCUCGUAGAGAUAGUAGAAAAGUAACAGCAAAAAUAUAAAAAAAAAUAAGCAAAAAGAAUAAUAACAAAAAAUCAGGGACCGAUGUCGUAAUCAUAAAAAAAUGUAUCAAACUCGAUUUCGUCGGCUUCAAUGACGAGGAAAACGACGAUAAUUGCCUUCUGUUCAUAGGACGAUUACGAAACCGAUCCCUCGCUGUGUACCAUCGAGAAACACAAAAAAUAUGUAUUGCAUACUAUCAGGGAAGUGUUCUCUAAGUGCUUAUUAAGUAUGUAUGUAUAUCACCUCGCGUACUCGACGACUGAAUCGAUUUAUAGAAUACGGUGACUUAAGAAAACGUAUGAAAGGCAGCAUGACCGCUUCGGCAGCUUUCAUUGUCCUUGUAAGGACAACGUCGUCCUUACCGAUCGAGGUCAAUAUUGUCUUUCGACGAUCGAAAACGAGCGAUUCCUUUCCAUUAUCUGUGAAAAUGAAGAGGAACAGAGAGAAUAGAAUGACGACGACGACGAUAUAGAAGAAGGAACGAAAAGCGUUGUUUUUUCCUAUUCUCUUCUUUUUUAUCUCUUUCCUUCGGUUCGCACUCGUGUAGGUCCGAUAUGACGAGUAAAAAUUGAGGUACAACAAUCAUACACACAAUGCGCAAAAUACGCAGGUAUACAACACAGGGCGGUUGGACGAUCCGACGGGAAUGAUUGUCCCAUGGAUAGGCGUAUAAUGUAACCCGUGACUCUUUUUAUUGACGACGACUGCAUUGCCCCCCCCCUGACAAAGGCUUGUAUAUUCAUUAUAUAGUUGUAUUUGCGAUUAUUACCUAUGCAUAUAUAUAGUAUAUAUAUACAAAGGCAAAUGGAUGUGGAUAGAGAGAAGAAUUUAAAUAUUGUUGGCGAAGAAUGAUGAGAGUGAUGAACGACCGCGUGGAACAUUAUCGAUAAGGGAAGAAAAUGAUUUAAAUCGAUUUAUGAACGAUUAUAAAUGGAAGAAGUGAUGCGUCGUAUAUCCCUUUCCGAUUGCCCGAACAAUUACGAGAUACACGGCUGGGGGAAAGGAAGAAACAAGAUCCAUUCUUUCUUUCUCUGUUGAUUAUAUUCCAAUUCGCUUCCUUUUUCUCGUCAAACUCCUCGUUUCUUCUUUCGCUAAUUAUUGCAAUUACUAUUAUUAUUGUUGCUAUUACGAUAACUAUUAUUAUUACCAUUCAUUAUUAUUAUUAAUGUUAUUACGUACAUAUGUUAACCUUUCGAUUGAGUUAUCUUCGAGUUUUACAUUGGGACGUGCAAUGUUGCGGCAUUUUGAAAUCAAUGUUCAAUUCCAAGUGCAAAUAACCUGUUGAGAGGAAAAAUUGCGUCUUCUGUAAGAGGGGAACAUUUUUCUUUCAAACGUCAAAUGCAUGAGACACGCUAAAAAUUAAAAAUUAUCAAUGAUUAAUUGGCAAGUCAUAUCGACGUCAGUAGCUGAAAUCCUGACAUCGUACGGUGAACUUCAUAUUCAAUAAUGUAAUUAAACAACACGAAACAUUCGGCACUUGUAAGUUCAUCGAAAGUACAAAACGAGUAUCGAUUAUUUGAAUUGUUUGGCCGAUUGUUUGCAUCCUAUAAACGUGUUGCAUACACCUCAAUCGAGUAGUUGUUCAUUGAAUCAUAUCAUUCGAAUAGUGUAAGCAGGUGUUUUAAUCAAAAAGUAUAACAGUCUAGAUAACGCUCGUGUGAUAUAUUAUUUCUGUAAUACAAUGUUCCGUAAUAGCUGUGGCUGUUCGGGAUACGUCGCACGAAGUCAUUAGGGGAUCGUUCGCUAAAACGUGAAGUUGCCGCUCGAUCAAACUUGCUCUAUACUUGUGUCUCAAUUUCGAACUAAUAAAAACACUAGUAUACCAGCGACGUAUUUCAGUUUUGAUAGUUCUCAUGAUAUAUAUAUAUGUAUAAUUUUCUAAUUGCUUCGAUUAAUAUUCUCUUCCAUGAAUUCUUGAAUACAAUUUUUGUUUAAAACAUUAAAAAAGAAAAUAUGUUAGUAACGAUGUUAAGGUUAUGUCUUCAGCUACUACCGAGAUACAUAUUUACACGUAAACGAAUUCAAUGUUUAAUGUCUAAUUAGUACCUAAAAUAAUGUGUGUUUAGUACAAUUGAGUUCGAUAUUGGUAGACAUUCUCCGUAAAUAUGAUCAUGUAGCACCGUUGUAAUGCGCGGAGUAAAGCGAUCUCUCGUGUGUCUAAGAAUUGAAACGUGCCUGGUAAGUGGUAAGAUGAUCAUAAGUUGUCGACGAAGCAUGCAGCUUAUAGUGUAGUAGUUGGUAGUAGCAACGAAUACGGUGUAUCGGUAGAAAAAGAGCGAAAACUAGAGAGGAAGUAAGAGAAAGAGGGAGUGAGAUAGAACUCGAGAAAGAAAAAGAGAGCAAAGGGCAGAGAGAUCCCUUUUCUAUGGUGGACUCUCCGGUUCGUUAUUAUCGGCGAGUGACGCACACAGAACCGAGACACUAUUGCGCGAAACAACUUCCUCCAUUUCCUGCUACGAUUCUGUUUCACGCGUACUUCCGGCCGUUUCCCCCGCAUGCUUCUUUCUGUUUUACUUGAGAG